UAUUUAUUGACCAAUCAGAGUAACACAUUUGCCAUACAGAACAUCCCACGGCAGAGCUUCCCAAGAAUUCUCAAGCAGUGACUUCCACGAACAGCUCACUGAAAUGCCCCCAAGUGAAUCAGGAUUCUGCUGGUACAUGAAGAAAAAAGGAGUGGUCAGAAAAAAGGAAGCUGAUUUUUCAUCCCUGUUCUGCAGAUGAAAGGGUAAUAUGAGGCCAAUUUUGUGAACGGAACUUUCUACUGGGAGCAUACAACCCUUGACACUGGGGCACGAUGUUAUGGGCCACAUAGCCCUAUCCUGGGAUGUUUGGUCUGGUGGAGUCAUGGUGAUUAAAAAAAAAGUGGAGAAGUUUAAUAACUGUGUGUAAGAUUUUCCUGUGGUCCAUUUCACGGGUUGCUUUCUCUUUCCCAUGUAGUGAUUGAUGCCAGAACACAGACCCUUCUGGAAAAAGAACAGAGUCUCUGCAUCGUCUCCUAGCAUGUUCAUUGCACAGUUUACAUGUAGACAUGCGGACAUGAUGGACACGAA